GAUGAAGAACGCAGCGAAAUGCGAUAAUUAAUGUGAAUUGCAGAAUUCAGUGAAUCAUCGAAUCUUUGAACGCACAUUGCGCCCGUCAGUAUUCUGGCGGGCAUGCCUGUUCGAGCGUCAUUACGCCCCUCAAGUCCCCUGUGGACUUGGUGUUGGGGAUCGGCGAGGCUGGUUUUCCAGCACAGCCGUCCCUUAAAUUAAUUGGCGGUCUCGCCGUGGCCCUCCUCUGCGCAGUAGUAAAACACUCGCAACAGGAGCCCGGCGCGGUCCACUGCCGUAAAACCCCCCAACUUUUUAUAGUUGACCUCGAAUCAGGUAGGACUACCCGCUGAACUUAAGCAUAUCAAUAAGCGGAGGA
rnacentral:misc_RNA from 1 species